GAGGGUAUAGCUCAGUGACAGAGUACAUGCUUAGCAUGCAAGAGGUUCUGGGUUUAAUACCCAGUACCGCCA
rnacentral:tRNA from 1 species